rnacentral:rRNA from 1 species
UACGUGAGGGGCGAACGUUGUUCGGUGUCACUGGGCUUAAAGGGCGCGUAGGUGGCUGUGCAAGUAAGGUGUGAAAGCCCUCGGCUUACCCGGGGAAUUGCGCCUUAAACUGCAUGGCUUGAGGGAUUCAGGGGAAUGGGGAACUCCAGGUGUAGCGGUGAAAUGCGCAGAUAUCUGGGGGAAGGCCGGCGGCGAAGGCGGCAUUCUGGGAAUUACCUGACACUGAGGCGCGAAAGCGUGGGGAGCAAACAGG